CAUUAGAGGGUCGCGAGACCUCCCUAAUACCUUCAACCAACCCGCGUACCUACCCGAGGGGGCCCCAGUGGCCACAAAACAUGAUGCCUCGGUCGGCGGCCCCAGGGGGGGCCUCUGCCCGCGCGCCUUCCGGGGCGCGGGGGUGCCGGCCGGCGGCCAAACCAAAAACCUGAACGUUAUAAUAACCAUUAACCUCUUUACAAACCAAAACCAUUACAACCUGCAACGAUGGAUCUCUUGGCUCUGGCAUCGAUGAAGAACGCAGCGAAGUGCGAUACGUAAUGUGAAUUGCAGAUCUUUCAGUGAAUCAUCGAAUCUUUGAACGCACAUAGCGCCCGCCGGCCAUUCCGGCGGGCAUGCCUGUCCGAGCGUCGAUGACGCCGUUCGAGCCCCUCUGAUGGGCUCGGUGUUGGGGCGCUAGGGGGCGGUUUCUCGCGAAGCUCCCCCUAGGCCCUCAAGCAGAAGUGCGCGGUCCGGCUGCGGGCCCCGGGUACAGUAACUUUACCGUUAAGAUGUCUUGGGAGAAGCAGCUGGGCUUGCCGUAAAACCCCCGACAUAGGGACCCCCGGGCCACGCGUGAGCGGGCGAGGGAGGGACCGCCAUAUGUUGACCUCGGAUCAGGUAGGACUACCCGCUGAACUUAAGCAUAUCAAUAAGCGGAGGAAAGGGCGAAUUCGUUUAAACCUGCAGGACUAGUCCCUUUAGUGAGGGUUAAUUCUGAGCUUGGCGUAAUCAUGG
rnacentral:misc_RNA from 1 species